rnacentral:rRNA from 1 species
UAAACUAGGAUUAGAUACCCUAUUAUUUUAAAUUUAAGUUUAAAAUGCUAAAUUAGUAUAAGUUAUGUUCUUUAAAAUUAAAAAAUUUGGCGGUAUUUUAGUCUUUUCAGAGGAACCUGUUCUGUAAUUGAUAGUCCACGAUUUAAGAUAUUUUAUUUAUUAGUUUACAUAUCGUUGUAGUUUUGAAUAUUUUAAUAGAAUUUUAAAUAUUCAUAAUUUUUUAUUUAAAAAUAAAUCAGAUCAAGGUGUAGUUUAUAAUAAAAUAGAAAUGGGUUACAUUAAAUUUAUUUGAGAAUAAUUUUUAGUAACAAAAAUUUGAAUAUGGAUUUGAAAGUAAUUUUAAAAAAAUUUUUAAAAUGAUUUUAGCUCUAAAAUAUGUACACAUCGCCCGUCGCUCUUAA